AAACUUUCAACAACGGAUCUCUUGGUUCCCCCAUCGAUGAAGAACGCAGCGAAACGCGAUAGUUAAUGUGAAUUGCAGAAUUCAGUGAAUCAUCGAGUCUUUGAACGCACAUUGCGCCCAUCGGUAUUCCUUUGGGCAUGUCUGUUUGAGCGUCAUU
rnacentral:rRNA from 1 species